rnacentral:rRNA from 1 species
AAGCUUUGGUUGGGGCAACGCGGAGUAAGAAGACCCUCCGCUAAUAAGAUAUUACUAUAAAAAGAAUUACGGUUCUACAAUCAAAAUGAAAGAAUGAUCCACUAAGGUGAUCAAAGAAACAAGUUACCGCAGGAUAACAGCGUUAUCUUUUCUGAGAGUUCACAUUGACGAAAAGGUUUGCGACCUCGAUGUUGGAUCGGGACAUCCUAAGGGUGCAGAAGCUUUUAAGGGUUGGUCUGUUCGACCAUUAAAGUCCCACGUGAUCUGAGUUCAGACCGGCGAGAGCCAAGUCAGUUUCUAUCUACGUUAAGGUCUCUC